rnacentral:rRNA from 1 species
UUCCGCAAUGGGCGACAAGACCUGACGGAGACAACGCCGCGUGAGUGAAGAAGGUGCUUCGGAUCGUAAAGCUCUGUUGACGGGGACGAACGUGCGAGGGGCGAACAGGCUCUUGCAAUGACGGUACCUGUCGAGGAAGCCACGGCUAACUACGUGCCAGCAGCCGCGGUAAUACGUAGGUGGCGAGCGUUGUCCGGAAUCAUUGGGCGUAAAGGGAGCGCAGGCGGGCGUGUAAGUCUUUCUUAAAAGUUCGGGGCUCAACCCCGUGAUGGGAAAGAAACUACAUGUCUUGAGUACAGGAGAGGAAAGCGGAAUUCCCAGUGUAGCGGUGAAAUGCGUAGAUAUUGGGAGGAACACCAGUGGCGAAGGCGGCUUUCUGGACUGCAACUGACGCUGAGGCUCGAAAGCCAGGGAGCGAACGGGAUUAGAUACCCGGUAGUCCUGGCCGUAAACGAUGGAUACUAGGUGUGGGAGGUAUCGACCCUACCGUGCCGGAGUUACGCAUAGUAUCCGCUGGGAGUACGGUCGCAGACUGAACUCAAGAUGACGGACCGCACAGCGUGAUAUGUGUUAU